GACGAACGCUGGCGGCGUGCUUAAUACAUGCAAGUCGAACGGAGCCUAGCUGGUGGUUUACUACCGGCGAAAGCUUAGUGGCGGACGGGUGAGUAACGCGUGGGUAAUCUGCCCCUAAGUCCGGGAUAACAGAGCGAAAGUUCUGCUAAUACCGGAUACUCUUCCCGGGUCGCAUGGUCUGGGAAGGAAAGGUUUACUGCUUAGGGAUGAGCCCGCGUCCCAUUAGCUAGUUGGUGAGGUAACGGCUCACCAAGGCGACGAUGGGUAGCCGGCCUGAGAGGGUGGACGGCCACACUGGGACUGAGACACGGCCCAGACUCCUACGGGAGGCAGCAGUAGGGAAUUUUCCGCAAUGGGCGAAAGCCUGACGGAGCAACGCCGCGUGAGGGAAGAAGGUCUUCGGAUCGUAAACCUUUGUCAUCGGGGACGAUCAUGACGGUACCCGAGGAGGAAGCCCCGGCUAACUACGUG
rnacentral:rRNA from 2 species